rnacentral:antisense_RNA from 1 species
CCCUCUUCGCCAUCUUUGUAUGUUAAAGCACAUAUCAUGCCUUUCCAAAUGGAAGGGGCGUGUGCAUUCCACCAGGAUUCUCGUGUGGU